rnacentral:rRNA from 1 species
UAUUGGACAAUGGGCGCAAGCCUGAUCCAGCCAUGCCGCGUGUGUGAAGAAGGCCUUAGGGUUGUAAAGCACUUUCAGCGAGGAGGAAGGGAUAGGCGUUAAUAGCGGCUAUUUUUGACGUUACUCGCAGAAGAAGCACCGGCUAACUCCGUGCCAGCAGCCGCGGUAAUACGGAGGGUGCAAGCGUUAAUCGGAAUUACUGGGCGUAAAGCGCACGUAGGCGGUUCGUUAAGUUGGAUGUGAAAGCCCCGGGCUCAACCUGGGAAUUGCAUUCAAAACUGGCAGACUAGAGUAUGUGAGAGGGGGGUAGAAUUCCAAGUGUAGCGGUGAAAUGCGUAGAGAUUUGGAGGAAUACCAGUGGCGAAGGCGGCCCCCUGGCACAAUACUGACGCUGAGGUGCGAAAGCGUGGGGAUCAAACAGG